GUCGAACGCGAACGGCUCCUUCGGGAGCUAGUAGAGUGGCAACGGGUGAGUAACGCGUGGGUAACGUACCCUGAUCCUGGGAAUAACCCUCGGAAACGAGGGCUAAUACCGAAUGUGGCGAACGACCGGUUGGUCGCUCGCUAAAGGUGGCCUCUUCUAUGCUGCCGGGUUGGGAUCGGNCCGCGUCCCAUUAGCUAGUUGGUGAGGUAACGGCUCACCAAGGCCACGAUGGGUAGCCGGCCUGAGAGGGUGUACGGCCACACUGGCACUGAGACAAGGGCCAGUCCCCUAUGGGAGGCGCAGGCGGGAAUAGUUCACAAUGGGCGAAAGCCUGAUGACGCGACGCCGCGUGAGCGAAGAAGACCUUCGGGUUGUAAAGCUCUGUCAGGAGGGAAGAAGGCUCUACGGGUUAAUAGCCCGUGGAAUUGACGGUACCUCCAGAGGAAGCCCCGGCUAAAUACGUGCCAGCAGCCGCGGUAAUACGCAUGGGGCAAGCGUUGUCCGGAUUUACUGGGCGUAAAGGGCGCGUAGGCGGUUUGUUAAGUCGAAGGUGAAAUCCUCGGGCUCAACUCGAGAAUUUGCCUUCGAUACUGGCAAACUAGAGUGGCGGAGAGGAAAGCGGAACUCUUGGUGUAACGGUGGAAUGUGUCGAUAUCAAGAGGAACACCGGUGGCGAAGGCGGUUUCCUGGACGCACACUGACGCUCAGGCGCGAAAGCGUGGGUAGCAAACCAGGAUUAGAUAACCCUGGUAGUCCACG
rnacentral:rRNA from 1 species